rnacentral:rRNA from 1 species
GGAAUCUUCCACAAUGGACGAAAGUCUGAUGGAGCAACGCCGCGUGAGCGAUGAAGGCCUUCGGGUCGUAAUGCUCUGUUGUUAGGGAAGAACAAGUGCGAGAGUAACUGCUCGCACCUUGACGGUACCUAACCAGAAAGCCACGGCUAACUACGUGCCAGCAGCCGCGGUAAUACUUAGGUGGCAAGCGUUGUCCGGAAUUAUUGGGCGUAAAGCGCGCGCAGGUGGUCCUUUAAGUCUGAUGUGAAAGCCCACGGCUCAACCGUGGAGGGUCAUUGGAAACUGGGGGACUUGAGUGCAGAAGAGGAAAGUGGAAUUCCAAGUGUAGCGGUGAAAUGCGUAGAGAUUUGGAGGAACACCAGUGGCGAAGGCGACUUUCUGGUCUGUAACUGACACUGAGGCGCGAAAGCGUGGGGAGCAAACA